rnacentral:ncRNA from 1 species
AUAAUGAUACUUCCGCCUUGAACGCUUCACAGCAUUGGGCGGCUCGGCUGACGCGGAGAGGUGAAAUUCCUAUGA